rnacentral:rRNA from 1 species
GGGCUGGCCGGGUGGUCCGUCGUUUCGGCGUGUACUGCCUUUCGGCCGGUCCUUUCCUUCUGGGGAAUCGGUGGUGCACUUAACUGGGCGCUGCCGGGGAGCCAGGACUUUUACUUUGAAAAAAUUAGAGUGUUUAAAGCAGGCUAACGUCUGAAUACAUUAGCAUGGAAUAAUGAAAUA